GUCGAGCGUUAGCCACCCAGCAUUGAGCUGCCAGCGGCUGUUCUCCCUAAGCACCCUCGCUCACGUCGCCUCGCCUCGCCUGACUGGCCGCAGCCUUGGAUACCAGCCUUAAAUCGAGCGGACUACGGCCCAGCCCCGCCCGCGGCGAGGUGCGCGGGGUUCGGUGCCAGCCGCUCGCCCCUGGCCGGGCCAGCCUCUUGAUGCACCGGGGACGGGCGCGCCCAUCCGACUCUUCGAGGGGCGGCAGGGCCCCAUCUGUGUCUUUCGCUCUCGAGCCCCCAGCUAGAGUUGGCUUCAGCGGAAUACCUACUGUGCAGGAUUAUUCAACAAGCCGAUUGAUCCCAUUCUUCAGCUCUAGCAGUGCAAAGGCUUCACUGAAAAAGAACAUUACAAAUUUUUUUUGAAAGAAAUUUGGGGGUAAAUUUAAUUUUAAAUACUGAUUUUUGAUAACAUUUGAUCUUAUGACAGCAUUUGUAUUUUUAAUUACAGAUAGGAUUACACUAAAAGUCAUUUCUGACCUGCUCCCUUACCCUUAUGGCUAAAAUAAACUGCUAGGCCCUGAAGCAAAGGCGAGCCAUGUUCUAGAGUAAUGUCUUUCUUGUAUUAAAAUACGGCCCCUUGCUCA
rnacentral:lncRNA from 1 species